CUCCUGCAGACCUGUCCACCCUCCUACGUAACUCCUGCUUCACCUUCCACUCGCUUUCCACAGAAAGCACGUUUCGCUGUGAGCUCUACUUCAGUUCUCCUAAACCCCGUCUCCCCUGGCGGAUUCCGUUCACUCUCUAUUGGAGAGACCAGAUCCCUGUCAUCCCCGUGUAGAAUUUAGAAAUAAUAAACUUCUUUUCACCGUU